GGAGAGCGAAGCAAAAACAUGUCCCUGAAGACUGAGGCUGUGCCUUUUCCCGUCCACAGGCUUGGCAGAAGAAACUAGAGCUCCAGAGAACAAAAAUACAAAUGUGUUAUCUGGACCAGCCUGCAGCUCCAAGAUGAAAACAUCACUGCCAGGUCUCAGACUGCCAACCUUCAUGGCAUCAUCACUGCAAAUGUUCCCAGUCCCUCCCCACGCUCGGGCCAAGUCAUGAGUACAAAAAUGUUUGCAGUAUUAAUA